UUAAAUUGAAGAGUUUGAUCAUGGCUCAGAUUGAACGCUGGCGGCAGGCCUAACACAUGCAAGUCGAACGGUAACAGGAAGCAGCUUGCUGCUUUGCUGACGAGUGGCGGACGGGUGAGUAAUGUCUGGGAAAUUGCCAGAUGGAUGGGGAUAACUACUGGAAACGUUAUCUAAUACCGCAUUACGUCGCAAGAC
rnacentral:rRNA from 1 species